rnacentral:rRNA from 1 species
UACAGAGGUCCCGAGCGUUGUUCGGAUUCACUGGGCGUAAAGGGUGCGUAGGUGGUGAGGUAAGUCGGAUGUGAAAGCUCGGAGCUCAACUCCGAAAUGGCAUUGGAAACUACCUUGCUCGAGGGUUGGAGGGGGGACUGGAAUGCUUGGUGUAGCAGUGAAAUGCGUAGAUAUCAAGCGGAACACCAAUGGCGAAGGCAGCCGCCUGGGCCUGAUCUGACACUGAGACACGAAAGCGUGGGGAUCAAACAGG